UGGGGAAUAUUGGACAAUGGGCGAAAGCCUGAUCCAGCCAUGCCGCGUGUGUGAAGAAGGUCUUCGGAUUGUAAAGCACUUUAAGUUGGGAGGAAGGGCAGUAAGCGAAUACCUUGCUGUUCUGACGUUACCGACAGAAUAAGCACCGGCUAACUCUGUGCCAGCAGCCGCGGUAAUACAGAGGGUGCAAGCGUUAAUCGGAAUUACUGGGCGUAAAGCGCGCGUAGGUGGUUCGUUAAGUUGAGUGUGAAAGCCCCGGGCUCAACCUGGGAACUGCAUCCAAAACUGGCGAGCUAGAGUAGGGCAGAGUGUGGUGGAAUUUCCUGUGUAGCGGUGAAAUGCGUAGAGAUCUGGAGGAAUACCGAUGGCGAAGGCAGCCAUCUGGCCUAACACUGACGCUGAGGUACGAAAGCAUGGGGAGCAAACAGG
rnacentral:rRNA from 1 species